GGGCUUGACUGGAUUUGACAGCGGGCAGAAAUGGUAGGUAAGCAUACAGUGCUUCGUCGAUUGGCACUUUAAUCUCAGUCCUCAAAAUUUUAUCUGGCGAAACUAAUUACGCUCUCGCUGCCUGAUCGAAGCAUAGUAGAUGCGGGCUUAAUUCCGGCACCAGGUGCUGGAACGAGACAUCACUCGGAAGCUGUGGCUCCGAAGCCAUCCGGUACAGUGGUGCAGCAUAAUCGGAGAUAGCCGAUGCUGGCCUCGCGGCAGCGGUGAAGCUUUAGAGGAUAAGGUCGCAGUUGAUGGCUUUGGUUCUGCUGCGGCACGAAAACUUAGGCAAAGAUAAGUAUGUAGAAAGCCUAUGAUUUCCUCGUUUGGACGAGGGUUCGAUUCCCUCCAGGUCCAC
rnacentral:tmRNA from 1 species